AGUGAACGCUGGCGGCGUGCUUAACACAUGCAAGUCGAACGAGAACGGAUUAUAGCUUGCUAUAAUUGUCAGCUAAGUGGCGCACGGGUGAGUAAUGUAUAGGUAAUAUGCCUCUUACUAAGGGAUAACAAAUGGAAACGUUUGCUAAUACCUUAUACUCCUUAUUAACAGAAGUUAAUAAGGGAAAGACUUAUUGGUAAGAGAUUAGCCAGUAUUGUAUCAGUUAGUUGGUGGGGUAAUGGCUUACCAAGACUAUGACACAUAACUGGUUUGAGAGGAUGAUCAGUCACACUGGAACUGAGACACGGUCCAGACUCCUACGGGAGGCAGCAGUGGGGAAUAUUGCACAAUGGACGAAAGUCUGAUGCAGCAACGCCGCGUGGAGGAUGACACAUUUCGGUGCGUAAACUCCUUUUAUAUGAGAAGAUAAUGACGGUAUUAUAUGAAUAAGCACCGGCUAACUCCGUGCCAGCCGCCGCUGUAAUAC
rnacentral:rRNA from 1 species